GAUUUACUCAUGGAGCUGAAAUCAGUCGAAGAUACCAGCUGGCUGCAACUGUUUAUUAAAAACACAGCACUGUGCAAACACGAAAGUGGACGUAUACGGUGUGACGCCUGCCCGGUGCCGGAAGGUUAAUUGAUGGGGUCAGCGCAAGCGAAGCUCCUGAUCGAAGCCCCGGUAAACGGCGGCCGUAACUAUAACGGUCCUAAGGUAGCGAAAUUCCUUGUCGGGUAAGUUCCGACCUGCACGAAUGGCGUAAUGAUGGCCAGGCUGUCUCCACCCGAGACUCAGUGAAAUUGAACUCGCUGUGAAGAUGCAGUGUACCCGCGGCAAGACGGAAAGACCCCGUGAACCUUUACUAUAGCUUGACACUGAACAUUGAGCCUUGAUGUGUAGGAUAGGUGGGAGGCUUUGAAGCGUGGACGCCAGUCUGCGUGGAGCCGACCUUGAAAUACCACCCUUUAAUGUUUGAUGUUCUAACGUGGACCCGUAAUCCGGGUUGCGGACAGUGUCUGGUGGGUAGUUUGACUGGGGCGGUCUCCUCCUAAAGAGUAACGGAGGAGCACGAAGGUUGGCUAAUCCUGGUCGGACAUCAGGAGGUUAGUGCAAUGGCAUAAGCCAGCUUGACUGCGAGCGUGACGGCGCGAGCAGGUGCGAAAGCAGGUCAUAGUGAUCCGGUGGUUCUGAAUGGAAGGGCCAUCGCUCAACGGAUAAAAGGUACUCCGGGGAUAACAGGCUGAUACCGCCCAAGAGUUCAUAUCGACGGCGGUGUUUGGCACCUCGAUGUCGGCUCAUCACAUCCUGGGGCUGAAGUAGGUCCCAAGGGUAUGGCUGUUCGCCAUUUAAAGUGGUACGCGAGCUGGGUUUAGAACGUCGUGAGACAGUUCGGUCCCUAUCUGCCGUGGGCGGUGGAGAACUGAGGGGGGCUGCUCCUAGUACGAGAGGACCGGAGUGGACGCAUCACUGGUGUUCGGGUUGUCAUGCCAAUGGCACUGCCCGGUAGCUAAAUGCGGAAAAGAUAAGUGCUGAAAGCAUCUAAGCACGAAACUUGCCCCGAGAUGAGUUCUCCCUGAGACUUUAGGUCUCCUGAAGGAACGUUGAAGACGACGACGUUGAUAGGCCGGGUGUGUAAGCGCAGCGAUGCGUUGAGCUAACCGGUACUAAUGAACCGUGAGGCUUAACCUUACAACGCCGAAG
rnacentral:rRNA from 1 species